rnacentral:rRNA from 1 species
UACGGAGGGGACUAGCGUUGUUCGGAAUUACUGGGCGUAAAGCGCACGUAGGCGGUUUUGUAAGUCAGGGGUGAAAUCCCGGGGCUCAACCCCGGAACUGCCUUUGAUACUGCAAAUCUCGAGUCCGGAAGAGGUGAGUGGAAUUCCUAGUGUAGAGGUGAAAUUCGUAGAUAUUAGGAAGAACACCAGUGGCGAAGGCGGCUCACUGGUCCGGUACUGACGCUGAGGUGCGAAAGCGUGGGGAGCAAACAGG